GUAGGUGAACCUGCGGAAGGAUCAUUACCUUUCAGUACAGAAGCGUUGUGUUGGUUGAGUUGUGCCGGUUGAGUCUCGCUCACAAGUGGGGUUCCUGGUAGCAACUCCCUUCAUAAUUCUUCCUGUCUAUCAUCCUUGUCUUUUGUGUACUAUUGUUUCCUCGGCGGGCUUGCCCGCCGGCUGGACAACCUUAUAACCUAUUUAAUUUUCAAUCAGCGUCUGAAAUACUAUAAUAAUUACAACUUUCAACAACGGAUCUCUUGGUUCUG
rnacentral:misc_RNA from 1 species